AAAUUGAAGAGUUUGAUCAUGGCUCAGAUUGAACGCUGGCGGCAGGCCUAACACAUGCAAGUCGAGCGGUAGCACAGAGAGCUUGCUCUCGGGUGACGAGCGGCGGACGGGUGAGUAAUGUCUGGGAAACUGCCUGAUGGAGGGGAUAACUACUGGAAACGGUAGCUAAUACCGCAUAAUGUCGCAAGACCAAAGUGGGGGACCUUCGGGCCUCAUGCCAUCAGAUGUGCCCAGAUGGGAUUAGCUAGUAGGUGGGGUAACGGCUCACCUAGGCGACGAUCCCUAGCUGGUCUGAGAGGAUGACCAGCCACACUGGAACUGAGACACGGUCCAGACUCCUACGGGAGGCAGCAGUGGGGAAUAUUGCACAAUGGGCGCAAGCCUGAUGCAGCCAUGCCGCGUGUGUGAAGAAGGCCUUCGGGUUGUAAAGCACUUUCAGCGGGGAGGAAGGCGGUGAGGUUAAUAACCUCAUCGAUUGACGUUACCCGCAGAAGAAGCACCGGCUAACUCCGUGCCAGCAGCCGCGGUAAUACGGAGGGUGCAAGCGUUAAUCGGAAUUACUGGGCGUAAAGCGCACGCAGGCGGUCUGUCAAGUCGGAUGUGAAAUCCCCGGGCUCAACCUGGGAACUGCAUUCGAAACUGGCAGGCUAGAGUCUUGUAGAGGGGGGUAGAAUUCCAGGUGUAGCGGUGAAAUGCGUAGAGAUCUGGAGGAAUACCGGUGGCGAAGGCGGCCCCCUGGACAAAGACUGACGCUCAGGUGCGAAAGCGUGGGGAGCAAACAGGAUUAGAUACCCUGGUAGUCCACGCCGUAAACGAUGUCGAUUUGGAGGUUGUGCCCUUGAGGCGUGGCUUCCGGAGCUAACGCGUUAAAUCGACCGCCUGGGGAGUACGGCCGCAAGGUUAAAACUCAAAUGAAUUGACGGGGGCCCGCACAAGCGGUGGAGCAUGUGGUUUAAUUCGAUGCAACGCGAAGAACCUUACCUGGUCUUGACAUCCACAGAACUUUCCAGAGAUGGAUUGGUGCCUUCGGGAACUGUGAGACAGGUGCUGCAUGGCUGUCGUCAGCUCGUGUUGUGAAAUGUUGGGUUAAGUCCCGCAACGAGCGCAACCCUUAUCCUUUGUUGCCAGCGGUUAGGCCGGGAACUCAAAGGAGACUGCCAGUGAUAAACUGGAGGAAGGUGGGGAUGACGUCAAGUCAUCAUGGCCCUUACGACCAGGGCUACACACGUGCUACAAUGGCAUAUACAAAGAGAAGCGACCUCGCGAGAGCAAGCGGACCUCAUAAAGUAUGUCGUAGUCCGGAUUGGAGUCUGCAACUCGACUCCAUGAAGUCGGAAUCGCUAGUAAUCGUAGAUCAGAAUGCUACGGUGAAUACGUUCCCGGGCCUUGUACACACCGCCCGUCACACCAUGGGAGUGGGUUGCAAAAGAAGUAGGUAGCUUAACCUUCGGGAGGGCGCUUACCACUUUGUGAUUCAUGACUGGGGUGAAGUCGUAACAAGGUAACCGUAGGGGAACCUGCGGUUGGAUCACCUCCUUA
rnacentral:rRNA from 1 species